CAGUCGCCACGGUAAUACGAAGGGGGCUAGCGUUGUUCGGAUUAACUGGGCGUAAAGGGCGCGUAGGCGGGUUUUUAAGUCAGAGGUGAAAUCCCAAGGCUCAACCUUGGAACUGCCUUUGAUACUGGAAGUCUUGAGUCCGGGAGAGGUGAGUGGAACUGCGAGUGUAGAGGUGAAAUUCGUAGAUAUUCGCAAGAACACCAGUGGCGAAGGCGGCUCACUGGCCCGGUACUGACGCUGAGGCGCGAAAGCGUGGGGAGCAAACAGGAUUAGAUACCCCCGUAGUCCCUGUCUCUUAUAC
rnacentral:rRNA from 1 species